CUGGAAUUCAUGAACCGUGAGAACAUGACCUGAGCCGAAGCCGGAUGCUUAACCAACUGAGCCACCCAGGAGCCCCUCCAUCAUCACUUUUAUGAAUGAAAUCCAUAUCAUUAUGAGUUUCUUCUAGGUCAACAUCAUUCUGUGCGAGGUCCACAGAUCACUGCCUGUUUGCAAACUGGUCCUAAUCCACAAUGAAUUAAGUAUAAAACUGAAGAAGCAAAAUCUGCAACGAGCUCAAGACUGUCCUCUCUUUGGAGUAUGUCACCAGGAUAAGGAACCUCUAUGUCCUUAUGUGCCUUUUGAAGUAAAUAAAGCUCCACAAAGACCCUUCACUAACUCUACGGAGACCUGUGAGAGAGGCCUCUGAAUUUUUUUUUCUCCAUCACUCUGGAGUAAGGCCACUUUGGGGUAGACUUUUGCAAAUGUAAGUAAGAAUUUUUCAUAAUAUCUUUAAAAUCAAUCACUCGCCAGUGAGUGAAAUAUGUGUGGUACCACCUGUACAACUCCACCCUGACAGAGGUUAAUGUUACUAAAUACAGUGGUUUCCUGAGAGGGAAAGUGAUGUAUGUAUGUAUAUAUUUAUCAUAAAUAAAACAUGAUGCAAGGCUGGCUGUAUUAAAAUUUGAAUUGUG